rnacentral:rRNA from 1 species
UACGAAGGGGGCUAGCGUUGUUCGGAAUUACUGGGCGUAAAGAGCUCGUAGGCGGUCUGUCGCGUCUGCUGUGAAAACUCAGGGCUUAACCCUGAGCUUGCAGUGGGUACGGGCAGACUAGAGUGCGGUAGGGGAGACUGGAAUUCCUGGUGUAGCGGUGAAAUGCGCAGAUAUCAGGAGGAACACCGGCGGCGAAGGCGGGUCUCUGGGCCGUAACUGACGCUGAGGAGCGAAAGCAUGGGGAGCGAACAGG